UGGGGAAUUUUGCACAAUGGGGGAAACCCUGAUGCAGCGACGCCGCGUGAUUUAGAAGGCCUUCGGGUUGUAAAAAUCUUUUUUACGGUAUGAAAAUGACAGUACCGUAAGAAUAAGGUCCGGCUAAAUACGUGCCAGCAGCCGCGGUAAUACGUAUGGACCGAGCGUUGUCCGGAAUCAUUGGGCGUAAAGGGUACGUAGGCGGCCUAGUAAGUUAGAAGUGAAAUAAUAUAGCUCAACUAUAUAAAGCUUUUAAAACUGCUAGGCUUGAGAGAUGGAAGGGAAAGUGGAAUUCCUAGUGUAGCGGUGAAAUGCGCAGAUAUUAGGAAGAAUACCGGUGGCGAAGGCGACUUUCUGGUCAUCAUCUGACGCUGAGGUACGAAAGCGUGGGUAGCAAACAGG
rnacentral:rRNA from 1 species